AUUGAACGCUGGCGGCAGGCCUAACACAUGCAAGUCGAACGAGUGGCGGACGGGUGAGUAAUGUCUGGGAAACUGCCUGAUGGAGGGGGAUAACUACUGGAAACGGUAGCUAAUACCGCAUACCAUCAGAUGUGCCCAGAUGGGAUUAGCUGGUGGGUGGGGUAACGGCUCACCAAGGCGACGAUCCCUAGCUGGUCUAAGAGGAUGACCAGCAACACUGUAAAUGAGACACGGUUCAGACUCCGACGGGAGGCAGCAGUGGGGAAUAUGGCACAAUGGGCGCAAGCCUGAUGCAGCCAUGCCGCGUGUAUGAAGAAGGCCUACGGGUUGUAAAGUACUUUCAGCGGGGAGGCGUUACCCGCAGAAGAAGCACCGGCUAACUCCGUGCCAGCAGCCGCGGUAAUUC
rnacentral:rRNA from 1 species